GCCCGGGUGGCUCAGUCGGUUGAGCGUCCGACUCCGGUUCAGGUCAUGAUCUCAGGGUUUGUGAGUUCGAGCCCCACGUCGGGCU
rnacentral:tRNA from 1 species